ACUCCACCCAACCAGCUGAUUUCAAGACACGCCAGCUGCUGAGUACCCUUCCUUCCCUCAUGUGUGACGUCAGGUGUGGAGGUUGUCGUCCCGAGCGAGGCCUUGACAAGGCCUCACCACACUUCCCCGACCCGUGUCCCAGUCAAGCCAGAAGCCCCAGCAGCCUCUCCAACGUGAUCACAGCCUCUGUAUAUCAUUCAAGUGGAAGCAAAUGAGACUUAAACACUUUCACCUCAGCGCCAACUAAAAUUCACCGCUCCCAACG